rnacentral:rRNA from 1 species
AUUGAACGCUGGCGGCAGGCCUAACACAUGCAAGUCGAACGAGUGGCGGACGGGUGAGGAAUGUCUGGGAAACUGCCUGAUGGAGGGGGAUAACUACUGGAAACGGUAGCUAAUACCGCAUACCAUAAGAUGUGCCCAGAUGGGAUUAGCUUGUUGGUGGGGUAACGGCCCACCAAGGCGACGAUCCCUAGCUGGUCUGGGAGGAUGGCCGGCCACCCUGGAACUGCGACCCGGUCCGGACUCCUACGGUAUGCAGCAGUGGGGAGUAUUGCACAAUGGGCGCAGGCCUGCUGCAGCCAUGCCGCGUGUAUGAAGAGGGCCUUCGGGUUGUAAAGUACUUUCAGCAGGGAGGCGUUACCCGCAGAAGAAGCACCGGCUAACUCCGUGCCAGCAGCCGCGGUAAUAC